AGGAAGUCGGAUCCCCGGGUUCUGAGGUUUUUCAUUUAAAUUUGAAUGUGUACAACUAGGUUACAAGGACAGGGAUUUUGUUUUGUUCCGUAACGUAUUCCCAGGGUUGGAACAGAGCCGGACGUACACUAGGCACUCAACAAAUAUUUGUUGAAAGAUUUUAAUGAGUAACACCCACCCAUUUUUGCAGCUCUUGUUUCCUAGCGAGGGCAGAGUUCAUCACUGAGAAGGCGAAAUUCUGAAAAUGGGAGUCUACAGAUGUGGUUGCCAAAGAGAUCACAUUUUCUACUCCCUGGACAAAUCCAACCUCUCUGAAGGUACUCAGUGAACACAAUAAAUACCUGUUGAACCAAUAAUUCA
rnacentral:lncRNA from 1 species